rnacentral:rRNA from 1 species
GAUGAACGCUGGCGGCGUGCCUAAUACAUGCAAGUCGAGCGAACAGACGAGGAGCUUGCUCCUCUGACGUUAGCGGCGGACGGGUGAGUAACACAUGGAUAACCUACCUAUAAGACUGGGAUAACUUCGGGAAACCGGAGCUAAUACCGGAUAAUAUAUUGAACCGCAUGGUUCAAUAGUGAAAGACGGUUUUGCUGUCACUUAUAGAUGGAUCCGCGCCGCAUUAGCUAGUUGGUAAGGUAACGGCUUACCAAGGCAACGACGCGUAGCCGACCUGAGAGGGUGAUCGGCCACACUGGAACUGAGACACGGUCCAGACUCCUACGGGAGGCAGCAGUAGGGAAUCUUCCGCAAUGGGCGAAAGCUUGACGGAGCAACGCCGCGUGAGUGAUGAAGGUCUUCGGAUCGUAAAACUCUGUUAUUAGGGAAGAACAAAUGUGUAAGUAACUAUGCACGUCUUGACGGUACCUAAUCAGAAAGCCACGGCUAACUACGUG